GAGAUUUGGGGCAAACUGGAGGUGCUUUGUCAACUGCUGGAGAUUUGGGGCGAAUGGGUGUUGCUUUGUCAACUGCUGGAGAUUGGGAACGAACUGGAGCUGCUUUGUCUACAGCUGGAGAUUUUGGACGAACUUGAGUUGUUUUGUCAAUUGCUGGAGAUUUGGGGCGAACUGCCGGUGCUUUGUUUAUGGGUGGAGAUUUGGGAGGAACUGGAGUCACUUUAUCAACCAAAGGCAGUUUUGGGGGAACUGAAGCAGCUCUAUUGAUUCGCGGUGAUUUUGAAGGAAGAGGGGCAUCUUUAUCCACAUCAACUGCUGGUGGUUUAGAUGCUGUGUUGCCUUUCAUUUUUGAACUCGAUCCAUUAACUUUGUUUGAAACUAGAUCAAUUUUUGCUGUGGCAGGAGCAGUCACAGCUUCAGUAUUUGUAGGGGGUGGUAUGCCUGAAACAGCUUCCUCUGGCAUGCAAUUGACCACAGAGACAUCCUUAGUUGGCAUUCCAUUAGCUUUUAGAUCAACUGCAACUUCUGAGGAAUGCUUUGGGCUCUCUGGAACAUCAGGUGGCUUCUCCAAAGAACUGGAUGAGUUGGAAGACUCUGCUUCCUUUGCUUUCGCAUCCCUAGCUUCAAAAUGAGCUUUAAGAAGUUUUUGCCCCUCAAUGUUCUUCUGAAAAAAAAAAUGCAAAAACAAAGCAUCGGUUACAGAAAAAUGAAUUGAUUGAUGCUAGUUAUGAAGUAAACAACGAGCACUUCAAAUGUAAGUUGGCAAACAAGAAAACAUCAGCACAUCCAUGGAUGCAACUGGCACAUGUGUUUCACGGAGAAAACAAAGGAAGAGAUAUAGUCAUAUCAACAUAACCGAUCACCAACAGUAGAGCACAAAAAACUAAUGGAAAAAGAUCUGACAUAAUGAUUUUGCUUGGAGAUAUAAUUUUUCCGGAUCAUGAAUGAAUCAAAUAUAUUAUUUGUUCACCAUUUUGCAUUUGAACCAUGAACUCAAAAGCAUAAAAAUAUGAUACACAGGAAAAACAUUGUAUCGAUGAUUUGGAGGAAUCAGGAUAGUCUUGACUCUUGAAUCAAUGAACUCAACCACCAAAACCAUGUUCUCUACCACCUGGCUACCAGGGUGCCCCAGAAUCAUAUUCAAAAAAAAUAAUGCAUUUAUGAUAUGCAUCAUAAACAAAAACCAAUGGUCACAACUUAGACACUUCAUUCACAUAUAUAUUGAAAAUAUAGUAGCCAAACUAUGAUUUUUAUAACAAACAAACAUAACUUCAUUUGUAAUAGUAAAUUUACCUCGUGCAGACGCUGCCCUAGCUUACGAAGUUUAUCCCUCAAGGUAAGUAGAACAGUAUCCUGAUCCAAUUUUGGAACGGUGCAGAAGCCAGAACUAUUGCGGCCUAAACCACCAGCAACACUAGAGGUGGAGGGAAGACCAUCACCUU
rnacentral:lncRNA from 1 species